AUUAUUUCUUUGUUUUUACCAGCCUGGAUUUAUUAAGCUUUGAUGUUUCCGUAUUCGAUCCUGACACCGGAACAGAAGUUUUUCUAAAAAAGUCUACUGCGGAUGAUGAUAUGAUAGUUGAACAAAAGUUGCCGGCUGAUGUGUGUGAAGAUGAUCUGGAAGGAAAUCAAAAACAUGUUAAAGGCAAGUCCAAA